CAGGGGAUAGUUUAUUAAAAAUAUUAAUUUUGGAGAUUAAUGAUAAGGCGUUAUUCUUUCUCCUGA
rnacentral:tRNA from 1 species